UACAGAGGUAGCGAGCGCUAAUCGGAAUUACUGGGCGUAAAGCGCACGUAGGUGGCGACGUAAGUCGGGUGUGAAAGCCCCGGGCUCAACCUGGGAAUUGCAUUCGAGACUGCAUUGCUGGAGUACGGAAGAGGAGGGCGGAAUUCCCGGUGUAGCGGUGAAAUGCGUAGAUAUCGGGAGGAACAUAAGUGGCGAAGGCGGCCCUCUGGUCCAGUACUGACACUCAAGUGCGAAAGCGUGGGGAGCAAACAGG
rnacentral:rRNA from 1 species